UACGUAGGUGGCAAGCGUUGUCCGGAUUUACUGGGCGUAAAGGAUGCGUAGGCGGACAUUUAAGUCAGAUGUGAAAUACCCGAGCUUAACUUGGGUGUUGCAUUUGAAACUGGGUGUCUAGAGUGCAGGAGAGGUAAGUGGAAUUCCUAGUGUAGCGGUGAAAUGCGUAGAGAUUAGGAAGAACACCAGUGGCGAAGGCGACUUACUGGACUGUAACUGACGCUGAGGCAUGAAAGCGUGGGGAGCAAACAGG
rnacentral:rRNA from 1 species